AUUGCUGAACUCUUCAUCUCCGAAAAUAAUUGUAUCCUUUACACACCAACAGAGGCCUUGUGAAACCAAACCCCUAGCCCUUAUCUGACCCCCACUUCCAGAGAACUAUUAGUACUAUCUUUGCAUGAAAAGCCUACACCUGCCCCCAGGAGGAGGCUUUGCUGGGCUCGGCGGGGACAGGAUGGGCGUCCUCAGAGGAGCUAUCGGAUCAGGCCUCUCAGGCACAGCACCUGGAGCAGCUAGCCCAGCUCUGCAUCGUGAGUAAAAGACCUCAUCUUGCUUUAGAGUACAGUGGGAAAGCCACUAAGAUCCAUCAGAGGGCCUUUGGCAACGACCACCCCAUCACAGACAGGAGUCUGGAGCUGCUGGCCACCGUCUACGCAGAGAUCGGCAAGACAGAAUACUCAGACUCCCUGGACCAGUGUGUGUCAGUGCUGUCCAAGAGGUUUGCUGCUGCCGAGUCCUUCAGAGACAAACUCAACAACGGUCUUCCCCAUUCCCACUCCCAUUCCCAUCGGGAGAAACACACUGAGGUCUGGCACAGGAAAGACCCCAGUCCACAGGAUGACACACCAAAACCGAAGGUCACCAACGGUAAAAUCCCUACGUCCAUACUGAAGAGGUCUGGCUCAGGAUCAGACUCGGAGCCCAGCCACAGAUGGAAAGGCGAGCGACGGGUCCGGUUCCGGGAGCCUGAGACCACUGUGCAUGACGUUCCAUACUAUGACUGUUUAGUUGCCUAUGACACGUCACCGCCACGCCCCCACCUGGCCCUGUUCACCUGCUUGUUCCUGCUGAUGUCACUGCUGGGCGUGGUCAUGUACAGCACGGACCGCCGGCGCCCACAGCGUGUGUGUGAGGAGCUGGAGGCCUCAUUGGCUGUCUAUCUGAUACACAUGAAACAGCUGCUGUGGGGCUGCUGGAUCUGGCUAACCAUGCAGUGACUGGGAGCCACCGAAGGGGGAGAUGUGGAGUAGUGAAUUCACUCUCUUCCUCACUACAUGUCCCUUAAGGUGUCCUUACCCAGCUUGGUCCACGAGCACACCUCAGUCAUACACACUGACUAUCUAUCUAUGGUGUUGAGAUGUGCACCCCUACUGCUACGCUCACACCCAUAUAUGGAGAAAUGUGUAAUCUCAGAGAUACAGUACGUAUCCUCCACACCUGUACACUGGUGGUGGGUAUGCAGCCAUGUUUGUUUUAUCGAUAAGACGUUUUGCACAUCAGCAAUGUUGACGCUCACUGAUUAUGCUCACUUAAUUGCUACAAUCAUUUACAUUUUCCAUUCUUGACAAAAUCUAUUGUAUGUGAGUAAAUGUUUAAUGGAUUGCAAAAUCAAUUGUAUUUAUUUUAUUACAGUACUACAGUACGUAAUUUUGUGUACUUAAAAGAUUACUACAGAUAUGAAUGUCUAUAUACCGUAUAGUAAGGAUUAUCACAAUAUUACGCCUUGUUAUUGCACAUAAUUGAAUGUAGAAAAUGUGAAAACUGCUUUGAAUUGGCAAAAAAAAACACCCUUACUGUCUAAAAUAAGGAUUAUAGAUUGAGUCAAGCACAAUGUGAACACCUUUUAAAAAGGAUUUCUGAAACAGACACAGGACUGCUUCAAUUCACAGUGCCAGGUUGAUCUAGCAAAUUGUUUGACAAAGCCAUCUUUCUUUUACAGCAUAAGAACUGUAGUCUGACCAUUUUUAGGUCAGAUAAAUGUUGUGAUCCCAGUUGGACAAAGAUGACAACUUCAGCACAAUAAUAUGAAUGCUCUCUUUCCUGGGAAUGUACUCAAAUUCAAAGAGUGAUUAUGACAGUGUACCUCUUGGUAAAUGCUAAAAUGCCACAAGUAAUAUCCUCUUGUUACGGUGCGUGAAUGAGGACCCAAAAGCGAAUUAACGUAAACAGAGCUUCUUUAAUGACAAAACAUAGGUAGGCUCAGAUGGACCGGCAGAUUCCGACAGGACAGGGUUGCAGCAAACAUGACGAUAGUCUGGUUCAGGCAUGAAUAACACAAACAAGAAUCCGACAAAGACAGGAGCAAAAACAGAGAGAGAUAUAGAGGACUAAUCAGAGGGAAAAAGGGAACAGGUGGGAAAAGGGGUGACGAGGUAGUUAGGAGGAGACAAGGAACAGCUGGGGGAAAGAGGGGGAGAAAAGGUAACCUAAUAACGACCAGCAGAGGGAGACAGGGUGAAGGGAAAGGACAGAAACAAGACACAACAUGACAAUACAUGACAGUACCCCCCCACUCACCGAGUGCCUCCUGGCGCACUCGAGGAGGAAACCUGGCGGCAACGGAGGAAAUCCUCGAUCAGCGCACGGUCCAGCACGUCCCGAGAGGGAACCCAACUCCUCUCCUCAGGACCGUACCCCUCCCAAUCUACUAGGUACUGAUGACCACGGCCCCGAGGACGCAUGUCCAAAAUCCUACGGACCCUGUAGAUGGGUGCGCCCUCGACAAGGAUGGGGGGGGG
rnacentral:lncRNA from 13 species